rnacentral:rRNA from 1 species
AUUGAACGCUGGCGGCAGGCCUAACACAUGCAAGUCGAGCGGGGGGCCGGACGGGGGGGUAAGGCCUGGGAAUCGGCCUGUUGGUGGGGGAUAACGCCCGGAACGGGGGGCUAUUACCGCAUCCUAUCGAAGAAGCCUGGGCCGGAUUAGCUAGUUGGGGGGUUAAAGGCUUACAAAGGCGACGAUCCGUAACUGGUCUGAGAGGAUGAUCAGUAACACUGGAACUGAGACACGGUCCAGACUCCUACGGGAGGCAGCAGGGGGGAAUAUUGGACAAUGGGCGAAAGCCUGAUCCAGCCAUGCCGCGUGUGUGAAGAAGGUCUUCGGAUUGUAAAGCACUUUAAGUUGGGAGGCGUUACCAACAGAAUAAGCACCGGCUAACUUCGUGCCAGCAGCCGCGGUAAUAC